UACGUAGGUGGCAAGCGUUGUCCGGAUUUACUGGGCGUAAAGAGCGCGCAGGCGGUCGUUCAAGUCGCGUGUGAAAGCCCCCGGCUCAACUGGGGAGGGUCACGCGAUACUGAUCGACUCGAAGGCAGGAGAGGGUAGUGGAAUUCCCGGUGUAGUGGUGAAAUGCGUAGAUAUCGGGAGGAACACCAGUGGCGAAGGCGACUACCUGGCUCACAACUGACGCUCAUACACGACAGCAUGGGGAGCGAACGGA
rnacentral:rRNA from 1 species